GAUCAUGCUCAGGAUGAACGCUAGCUACAGGCUUAACACAUGCAAGUCGAGGGGCAGCAUGAUUGAAGCUUGCUUCAAUUGAUGGCGACCGGCGCACGGGUGAGUAACACGUAUCCAACCUGCCGAUAACUCGGGGAUAGCCUUUCGAAAGAAAGAUUAAUACCCGAUAGUAUAGUAUUUCCGCAUGGUUUCACUAUUAAAGAAUUUCGGUUAUCGAUGGGGAUGCGUUCCAUUAG
rnacentral:rRNA from 1 species